GGGCCGGUCGUCUAGUUUGGUCGGGAUGCCGCCCUUACGAGGCGGAGGUCGCCGGUUCAAGUCCGGCCCGGCCCA
rnacentral:tRNA from 1 species